CAUCUAAUGUAUGUAUUAAACAAUAGAUCAGAUCUAUUACCUUACAAGUUAGACGCUCUAACCUCGCUGAUCCGGGCUUAAGGAUGAUGUUGCAAGCCGCACAUGCGUCCGGCCUCUAGGAGUCGUCCACACGAGCCCACGAAUCUCGAUCAGAAGUCCUGCUUUAGGAAAUCAGCACAGUAUGCUAGUACUGCGCUGAUCCUUCUUUGAUGGUUGAUCAGGUGCCUCUUUCUUCU
rnacentral:lncRNA from 1 species